GAUGAACGCUGGCGGCGUGCCUAAUACAUGCAAGUCGAGCGAACGGACGAGAAGCUUGCUUCUCUGAUGUUAGCGGCGGACGGGUGAGUAACACGUGGAUAACCUACCUAUAAGACUGGGAUAACUUCGGGAAACCGGAGCUAAUACCGGAUAAUAUUUUGAACCGCAUGGUUCAAAAGUGAAAGACGGUCUUGCUGUCACUUAUAGAUGGAUCCGCGCUGCAUUAGCUAGUUGGUAAGGUAACGGCUUACCAAGGCAACGAUGCAUAGCCGACCUGAGAGGGUGAUCGGCCACACUGGAACUGAGACACGGUCCAGACUCCUACGGGAGGCAGCAGUGGGGAAUCUUCCGCAAUGGGCGAAAGCCUGACGGAGCAACGCCGCGUGAGUGAUGAAGGUCUUCGGAUCGUAAAACUCUGUUAUUAGGGAAGAACAUAUGUGUAAGUAACUGUGCACAUCUUGACGGUACCUAAUCAGAAAGCCACGGCUAACCACGUG
rnacentral:rRNA from 1 species